AUGCACGCUGGCGGCGUGCUUCACCCCUGCCAGUCGCACGGUGAAGGCGGAGCUUGCUCUGCUGGAUCAGUGGCGAACGGGUGAGUAACACGUGAGCAAUCUGCCCCUGACUCUGGGAUAAGCGCUGGAAACGGCGUCUAAUACUGGAUACGAGCUGCGAAGGCAUCUUCAGCAGCUGGAAAGAAUUUCGGUCAGGGAUGAGCUCGCGGCCUAUCAGCUUGUUGGUGAGGUAAUGGCUCACCAAGGCGUCGACGGGUAGCCGGCCUGAGAGGGUGACCGGCCACACUGGGACUGAGACACGGCCCAGACUCCUACGGGAGGCAGCAGUGGGGAAUAUUGCACAAUGGGCGAAAGCCUGAUGCAGCAACGCCGCGUGAGGGACGACGGCCUUCGGGUUGUAAACCUCUUUUAGCAGGGAAGAAGCGAAAGUGACGGUACCUGCAGAAAAAGCGCCGGCUAACUACGUG
rnacentral:rRNA from 1 species